UACGAAGGGGGCUAGCGUUACUCGGAUUGACUGGGCGUAAAGGGCGCGUAGGCGGCUUGUACAGUCAGACGCGAAAUUCCUGGGCUCAACCUGGGGGCUGCGUUUGAUACGUGCGGGCUUGAGUUCGGAAGAGGGUCGUGGAAUUCCCAGUGUAGAGGUGAAAUUCGUAGAUAUUGGGAAGAACACCGAUGGCGAAGGCAGCCUCCUGGGCUGAGAUUGACGCUGAGUGCACGAAAGCGUGGGGAGCAAACAGG
rnacentral:rRNA from 1 species